rnacentral:rRNA from 1 species
UACAGAGGUCUCAAGCGUUGUUCGGAUUCAUUGGGCGUAAAGCGCACGUAGGCGGCCUCAUAAGUCGGAUGUGAAAUCCCUCGGCUCAACCGAGGAAGUGCAUCCGAAACUGCGAGGCUCGAGUAUGGAAGAGGGUCGCAGAAUUCCCGGUGUAGAGGUGAAAUUCGUAGAUAUCGGGAGGAACACCAGUGGCGAAGGCGGCGACCUGGGCCAAUACUGACGCUGAGGUGCGAAAGCGUGGGGAGCAAACAGG